UACGUAGGGGGCAAGCGUUGUCCGGAUUCAUUGGGCGUAAAGCGCGUGUAGGCGGCCAGGUAGGUCGGUUGUGAAAACUGGAGGCUCAACCUUCAGAGGUCGACCGAAACCAUCUGGCUAGAGUCCGGGAGAGGAGAGUGGAAUUCCUGGUGUAGCGGUGAAAUGCGCAGAUAUCAGGAGGAACACCAGUGGCGAAGGCGACUACCCGGCCUGUUCUUGACGCUGAGGCGCGAAAGCUAGGGGAGCAAACGGG
rnacentral:rRNA from 1 species